rnacentral:sRNA from 1 species
AAAGAAGGUCUUUCCACAUUAGAAGAUUUGGCCCGUAACCUUGUGGAUGAAGAAUUUGGAUUGACACCAGAACAGAAGAAAGAAAUGAUGAUGGCUUAUGUAUCGACAGGAGCUAAAAGAGCAGUAGAAAGUCGACUGCUGAAUUUCAUUAGCUACAACUACUAUCAUCUACCAAUGUAUGCUAAGCCAGGGAUGGUAUGAACAAACAGUUCAAAAUGUGAAUAUGUCUGGUAAUUUUUUUUUUUUUUUAUAUUUUCCGUUAUGCUUUUAUGAUUUGGGGUUAGAAGUCUAAACAUAAAAUAAUUUUAUGUAGCACCAAGAGGGUUUUCAAUUUGUAAGUUUAAAAAAGAAUGUAUCUAUUUGGAUAUAGAAAAAACAUUUUUUAUCACUAUUUGAACAAUUUAAGAAUGAUGUAAAAAAAAACACUAAAGAUAAUGUGCAUCUUACACAACAUACAAUUUAUUUUUAAUAAACACUAACAUUUAACAGAAUAAGACUAAAAUAAUACUUAUGAAAACUUACACUAAAAAGUAUUAAUGUUUUAGGUCUAAGUAUAAACUUUACCAUAAACAUAUUCUAACGUAAAUCACACUUCAAGUAAAAAAAAUAAAAAAUAUUUCAACUAAGACACUCACUUUAGUUUACCUUGAGGGUAAAUUAGGCCAGAGAUGAUGGAAUUGUAGAAUAAAUUAUUUUGCAAUUGACUGCAUGUGAGAUUUGUUGCUUAUAUAUUAAACAUAUCUAUAAAUGAAAACUUUGAUAUAAACUAUUUCUUAAUUAACUGAUUAAAAUUGAAACAUUAAAAUGAAAUAUACUUUUAUCUUGAAAUAUUAGUUACUGAAAUAAAAUUUUUAAAACUUUUAAUUCAUUAGUCAUUAUGGUACUUUGAAAUAAUAUAUAUAUAUAUAUAACUAUUACAACUAUUAAACUGUUAUCAUUUUGAUUGUGUCUAAAGUACUGAAGUUCUAGUAUGGUCUUAUUAUAAAUGUUUUUUUCUUUUCACAUUCUUGUUUUUGAAAUGAAAUAUAUAAAAUAUAAAAAAAAGGAACAUUUUGGUGAUGUAUUAACACCCAAUACAGGAAAUAGUGAUCAUGAGCUUCAGCAGACUCAGUAAUACUACCUUGAACUAAAAUGUUUAUUUAUACCAUGCGUGUUUAUUUAUAAAUAAAUAUAUUUUUGUUUUACUUUGUACUGUCAGUGUGUUUCUACAUGAUUUACAAAUGCAAAUUAUCAUUAAAUUUACUUUUGAAAAACAAA